rnacentral:piRNA from 1 species
UGCUUUUCCAUUUCUUCGACUAGGCUGC